rnacentral:rRNA from 1 species
GACCAACUGGGAUUGCCCUAGUAACGGCGAGUGAAGCGGCAAUAGCUCAAAUUUGAAAUCUGGCUCCUUUUAGGGGUCCGAGUUGUAAUUUGCAGAGGGUGCUUUGGCGUUGGUAGCGGUCUAAGUUCCUUGGAACAGGACAUCGCAGAGGGUGAGAAUCCCGUUUGUGGUCGCAUGCCUUCGCCGUGUAAAGCCCCUUCGACGAGUCGAGUUGUUUGGGAAUGCAGCUCUAAAUGGGAGGUAAAUUUCUUCUAAAGCUAAAUACUGGCCAGAGACCGAUAGCGCACAAGUAGAGUGAUCGAAAGAUGAAAAGCACUUUGGAAAGAGAGUCAAACAGCACGUGAAAUUGUUGAAAGGGAAGCGCUUGCAGUCAGACUUGCCCGUAGUUGCUCACCUAGGCUUUUGCCUGGGGCAUUCUUCUGCGGGCAGGCCAGCAUCAGUUUGGGCGGUCGGAUAAAGGUCUCUGUCAUGUAGCUUCCUUCGGGAAGAACUUAUAGGGGAGGCGAAAUGCGACCAGCCCGGACUGAGGUCCGCGCUUCUGCUAGGAUGCUGGCGUAAUGGCUGUAAGCGGCCCGUCUUGAAACACGGACCAAGGAGUCUAACAUCUAUGCGAGUGUUUGGGUGUCAAGCCCGAGCGCGUAAUGAAAGUGAACGGAGGUGGGAACCCUUUGGGUGCACCAUCGACCGAUCCUGAUGUCUUCGGAUGGAUUUGAGUAAGAGCAUAGCUGUUGGGACCCGAAAGAUGGUGAACUAUGCUUGAAUAGGGUGAAGCCAGAGGAAACUCUGGUGGAGGCUCGCAGCGGUUCUGACGUGCAAAUCGAUCGUCAAAUUUGGGCAUAGGGGCGAAAGACUAAUCGAACUAUCUAGUAGCUGGUUCCUGCCGAAGUCUCUCCCCGG